AGAUGAGGUGGUUCGGGCAUCUGGUCAGGAUGCCACCCGAACGCCUCCCUAGGGAGGUGUUUAGGGCACGUCCAACCGGUAGGAGGCCACGGGGAAGACCCAGGACACGUAGGGAAGACUAUGUCUCCCGGCUGGCCUGGGAACGCCUCGGGAUCCCCCGGGAAGAGCUACACGAAGUGGCUGGGGAGAGGGAAGUCUGGGCUUCCCUGCUUAGGCUGCUGCCACCGCGACCCCACCUCGGAAAAGCGGAAGAUGAUGGAUGGAUGGUAUAACAGCGGUAUAUGAAAACGAUGUUACUAAUGCUGUUACUUUUACCGGUAACGAGUAAUCUAAUAACUUUUAUGUACGCUACAACGCUGUUACGAUGCGUUUUAUGUAAUGUGGCAUGCUACUUUUGAUGUGAUUGUAUGUCAACAAGACAGCGUUAGAAGCACAAAAGAUUUAGUGCAGGUAAUAUCUUAUUAAUAAUGAAAGCAACCCCCGGAAGUAAUUACGAACACGAUAUCAAAUAGAAAGAGGCCUCAUCCACACGCAAACAAAAACAUUCAACAGAACUAUCUUAACUGCCACUGCUAAGCUAAAAAAUACAGCUGAACUAUUCUGCUAUGUCUGGGCGCUGACGUCCCACUUGGCAAAAGGCACAGCUUUUUAAAGGCACACACACACUCUGCUCUCGUGAAAUGUCUCUCAACUGCAUAUGCUAGAUAUUUAAAACUUUUCUUUUUCAAGUAACACAUUAAUUAGAAACCCCGUUUCCAUAUGAGUUGGGAAAUUGUGUUAGAUGUAAAUCCAAACGGAAUAAUUUUUUUUACAAAUAAUAAUUAACUUAGAAUUUCAUGGCUGUAACACGUGCCAAAGUAGUUGGGAAAGGGCAUGUUCACCACUGUGUUACAUCACCUUUUCUUUCAACAACACUCAAUAACCGUUUGGGAACUGAGGAAACUAAUUGUUGAAGCUUUGAAAGUGGAAUUCUUUCCCAUUCUUGUUUUAUGUAGAGCUUCAGUCCUUCAACAGUCCGUGGUCUCCUCUGUCGUAUUUUACGCUUCAUAAUGCACCACACAUUUUUGAUAGGACUGCAGGCCGGUCAGGAAAGUACCUGCACUCUUUUUUUAUGAAGCUGAACACGUGCUGAAUGUGGCUUGGCAUUGUCUUGCUGAAAUAAGCAGGGGCGUACAUGAAAAAGUUGGCGCUUAAGUGGCAGCAAAUGUUGUUCCAAACAGAUGGGUAACUUACAGAUGUGUAAGUUACCCAUGCCUUGGGCACUAAUGCACCCACAUACCAUCACAGAUACUGGCUUUUGAACUUUGCGUCGAUAACAGUCUGGAUGGUUCGCUUCCCCUUUGAUCCGGAUGAAACGGUGUCGAAUAUUUCCAAAAACAAUUUGAAAUUUGGGCUCGUUAGACCACAGAACACCUUUCCACUUUGCAUCAGUCCAUCUUAGAUGAUCUCGGGCCCAGAGAAGCCGGCGGCGUUUCUGGAUGUUGAUAAUUGGCUUUCGCUUUGCAUAAUAGAGCUUUAACUUGCACUUACAGAUAUAGCAACAAACUGUAUUUAGUGACAGUGGUUUUCUGAAGUGGGCUUCACGGUGGCAGAGGGGUUAGUGCGUCUGCCUCACAAUACGAAGGUCCUGCAGUCCUGGGUUCAAAUCCAGCCUCGGGAUCUUCCUGUGUGGAGUUUGCAUGUUCUCCCCGUGAAUGUGUGGGUUCCCUCCGGGUACUCCGGCUUCCUCCCACUUCCAAAGACAUGCACCUGGGGAUAGGUUGAUUGGCAACACUAAAAAUUGGCCCUAGUGUGUGAAUGUGAGUGUAAAUGUUGUCUAUCUGUGUUGGCCCUGCGAUGAGGUGGCGACUUGUCCAGGGUGUACCCCGCCUUCCGCCCGAUUGUAGCUGAGAUAGGCACCAGCGCCCCCCGCAACCCCAAAAAGGGAAUAAGCGGUAGAAAAUGGAUGGAUGGAUGGGUUUUCUGAAGUGUUCCUGAACUCAUGUGGUGAUAUCCUUUAGAGAUUGAUGUCGGUUUUUGAUACAGUGCCGUCUGAGGGAUCGAAGGUCACGGUUAUUCAAUGUUAGUUUCCAGACAUGCCGCUUACGUGGAGUGAUUUCUCCAGAUUCUCUGAACCUUUUGAUGAUAUUAUGGAGCGUAGAUAUUGAAAUCCCUAAAUUUCUUGCAAUUGCACUUUGAGAAACGUUGUUCUUAAACUGUUUGACUAUUUGCUCACGCAGUUGUGGACAAAGGGGUGUACCUCGCCCCAUCCUUUCCUGUGAAAAACUGAGCAUUUUUUGGGAAGCUGUUUUUAUACCCAAUCAUGGCACCCACCUGUUCCAAAUUAGCCUUCACACCUGUGGGAUGUCCCAAAUAAGUGUUUGAUGAGCAUUUCUUAACUUUAUCAGUAUUUAUUGCCACCUUUCCCAACUUCUUUGUCGCGUGUUGCUGGCAUCAAAUUCUAAAGUUAUUGAUUAUUUGCACCAAAAAAACGUUUAUAAGUUUGAACAUCAAAUAUGUUGUCUUUGUAGCAUAUUCAAUUGAAUAUGGCUUGAAAAGGAUUUGCAAAUCAUUGUAUUCUGUUUAUAUUUACAUCUAACACCAUUUCCCAACUCAUAUGGAAACGGGGUUUGUACUUAAUUUAAUAAUUAAUUACAUUUAUGAAAGAGUAAUUCUGUUUGUAAUUGAAUUUUUAGUCAAGUAACGACUAUUAUUAUUGCUUUUUAAAACAGAUAUUCCAAACAUUGUUAAUUGAUAAACUGUUUUAUCAGGAUAUGGUGUAUUUGCUCUUGCAUCAAUUUAAAAAGGUUCUUUUGUGGUCGAGUACCGAGGGAAGUUCAUCUCAAGACAUGAGCGGGACAAGAGACAGAAACCCUCUAUAAAUAUCUUUACUAUUUAUCUGGCAUUAUAUGCUCAUAAUGUUAACAACAAAAAGUGCUGAUAAUGUUAUAAUUAAUAAGUUCUAACAUUAUUUUUAUGUGUUUUGUUGCAGACACCAACUGUUGAUGUUCUAUCUCAACAUUCUCCAGAUUCAUGUGAGCGAUAAACCGACUUCAUCCCUCCAACAGACACCAACUGUUGGGGUUCUAUCUCAACAUUCUCCAGAUUCAGAUGUGAGCGAUAAACCGACUUCAUCCCUCCAACAGAAACCAACUGUUGAGGUUCCAUCUCAACAUUCUCCAGAUUCAGAUGUGAGCCAUUAACUGACUUCAUCCCUCCAACAGAAACCAACUGUUGAGGUUCUAUCUCAACAUUCUCUAGAUUCAGAUGACAGCCAUAAACCGACUUCAUCCCUCCAACAGAUUGACAGCAGGACAAAUCGCUGGAAGUGGGUAUGUCUCAAGCUUCUUCCACUUGGUCCACUCCAAAGCGGGCUGCAAAGGGGAAGAAGUGGAAGCAGUUGAAUGACACAUGUUGCAUUUUGUAACUGGCAACAAAGUACCAGGUAAAAAAGAUUGUGAAGCCUCCCUCCAUAAAGAACUAGUAGCUCUACAGGACAGAGAUUGGCUUGACAUCAAGUACUACAUCCAUAACAGAAUUAUAUUUAAAAAAGGAAAAAAAAAUGUUUUCCCACAUCUUCUGUGGUAGUUUGAGUAUGUUACCAGCAAUUAAAAAAGCAAAAUAAA